rnacentral:lncRNA from 1 species
GCUCUGCGGCGCUCGCGAAACCCGAAGACUUGCAGGGUAAGAACUGAAGCCACCAAAAGGCUUACUAUACCACACAACACCCAAGCCUUCCUUUGGGGCAUGGGGACAGUGGAUCUAUGGCUCCUCAGGGUGCCAACCAAUUGAAGAAGGAAGCCAGCUCCACUCAACAGCUUCUACAAAGGAAGGGCCACAGGAGAGGGGCUUCAGUGGUUCCAGGCAGCUGCUUCAUUCACAACAGAAUGGCCAUUUUCUCCAGCAUGGCCAACUAUCCCUAGUCUUUUUGUCAUGACAGCCUAGAAGGCAGAAGCUAGGGCCAAGGCGGCUGCUAAGGAAUUCCUACUCCUACUGGGGCCUAAUGUCAGGCUUUCCUUAUAUUGUGGAGUGGGCCCUGGAAGAUAGUUAGAGACCCUUCCUGCUGGGCACCCUGAAGAGGAGCAAGAGGAUCUGGUGAGCAAAAUGAAGCAAAAGUGCAGUGCUGGAGCUGACAGCCCUGUUCCCUACUGCACGCAGUUGGCUCAGGGCUGUCCCCCACUUUGGAGCUUCUUGCCACUCACGGGCUACCCUGCACACACUACUUACUGCCCAGGCCUGUCUGCCACCACAGUACCCUGUGCCUGAGACCUUUCCUGGCCUCUGCUGGAUCCCAGGCCUAGUAUCAUUCCUAGGGACUCCAGAGGCAAGUCCAGGCUAAUAUGCUCUGGGAAAACAAUGUACAAUGUACAUGUUUGCCUUUUGACGUAGAUAAAUGAUACCUGGAUCCCAGGUCUGGCUCUGGGGCAGGGGAGCUUCAGGCCUGGCUAUGGCAGAACACUGAAGGAGGUACUUUGGGUUUUCACAACCUCUUAAAUCAUCUCAGAGAGAGAGUGAACAACUUACUUUCACAUGCACAAGCUGCCGCUGGCUCUGUCACAAGAAGAUGGACUACAAGUAAUAAAAUCAAGAUGAAGUUCUGUGUACAUCUUUCCAGCUUACAAGAAUUGUAGAAAGUUGAAGAUGAAAGGGAUAUUAAAGAGCAUCUCAUUCUACCUCCUCAUUUUGCAGCUGUAAGAACCGAGGCCCAGGGAGGGGGACUGGGGAAGCCACCAUCACACAGCUGCUCCGUGGCAGGAGUUGUGCUAACUUUCUGUGGCUGUUGCCAUUACACCCAGCAUCUUUUGACUUUUGAAAACAGCGAAGGAGAAAUCAGUCCUCCCAGCAUCUUCACCUCCCACGACGUUUAUUGUUUCCAGCUGUUAAAAAUUGGCCCUUUAAAAAUGGGUCGUCUUGCCAGUCAUUGAGGGUCACCGCGGUGGGGAGUGCUGAUUUAGAGGGCGGCAGAACAGGGAGGUGAUUGGAGGCAUAAUUGCCAGUCUCCUCCUUGGCACCUGGGGAUUUCUGUCAUUCAAGUCUCAGGGUGUGUGCCCUCAGCAAAUACUAACCCACAGAGUCAAUUGCUAACUGCAGUCAUCUGUGCAUUUGCCCUCUGGGGAUGGAAAGCCAUAAGAAAUGCCAUUUCCUAAUCUAGUUGGCCUUGGAUGAGAAGAUGUUUUUGCCUAAUGGAAGCCUUUGGAGAGUGAAUAAUGUGAAUAAUGUGUAUUUAGGACCUACAGUGCUCCCCAGGAUGCUGUAAGGGACCUGGUUAUAAAGAAAAAAACCUCACUGA